rnacentral:lncRNA from 1 species
GAUCGCGGUCGAUCUGACCAAGGAGCCUUUGGAUUUUGUAGUUCAGACGAGACUCGUGCAACGCUAUGUAGCCUAAAUUGACAACAUACAAUGUUAUUUAUCGGCUUGUUGGGUUCUGAAAGUAUCCGGCUACGCUAAAAUGUGUAUCUCGUUUAUCGUGCUUAGUUGAUCGUCUGAAGGUACUCUUUGUGUGUGUCGUUGGUUCUUGAAUCUUGAUGCUAUUGUCAUCUGUUAUUAGAAGAACUAGCAGGGCAGCCUGUGCAUCUGUGCGUCUAUUUGCAUAUACUUUAGCUGUUGUUCAUAUAGACUGGAAAUGUUUUGAACAGAAAAUUUACUUGACUUGACUGACGGGAUUGCACUCAUGUAUCUUUGCUUUAUUGUUCAUGUUAAUUACGUAGCUUAAUCACAUUGCAAUUUGCUUUUGCCAUAAUAUUUUCUUAAUGUCAUGAAGUUCCUGGAGGGAAAGUUAGUGCUUGUCCAAUCCUGCUGAAGUAUACAAAUUGUCUUCGUGUCAUUAAAUACCCUGGGCCAUUACUCUUAUAUAAACUCCCAGAUGUCACAUUCGCAUUGCUUCUGGGACUGUUAUGAAGGUCAUCGUUGCUUCUGAUGCAAUUGCCCAGUUUGGACAAUUGCUUGUGUAUCACUAAUUUAGCUGAUCAAGAGAUACUUUGCUGGUGGGGAUAAGGUUAGGAGAAAGAUCUUUGAUUUUUAAAUAUAAGCCCCAUGACCCAGACUUGUUUAUCUGCUGGCGUUUCGCCCUUUUUGGAAAGGAGUAUCAUGAGCUACUAAAGCAGUUAAAUUAGGUUACCCGGCUAAAUUAGGAGGACUAGUCGGUUGGCCCUACAUAUAUAUUCUUGCAAAUGAACACAUUGUUACUCAUGUUCAUGUUCCUACUGUUUGGAAAUGAACUGUUCCUCCUACUUGAUCAUGUUUGAUUUCAUAUGUAUAUUCACAUGUAUUUUUAGUUCUAGUUCGCAUGUUCAAAUUUCAUAGAGUAUAAUCUCAUCAAUAUACCGCAACUAAUUACUGCAGCACACACGGGUAUCGUUUACUUUCAUAGUCCUAUAUGCUCUAUUUCAAAAUAUUUGUCGUGGUUUUAGUUCGACAAAUAUUUGAGAAACGGAGGGAGUAGCAAGUAGCCUGCCCUCGUGGAACCGGAGAAAAAUAACUCAACGGCUCCACUUCCCAACUCCCACCGUGCUGAUUCGGUCGUCGUCCUGGUCAGACUACACUACUCCCCACCACCCCACUCCACUCCACACCGCCACCAUGGCUGUCCUCCGGCGGCCACCGCUCGCCCCCAGUCCCACCGCCGCCGCAUCCCUCCCCCACCACCGCCUCCACCUCGCCACCCCACACAUACACCUCACCAGACCCCCUCCCUCCUCUCCCCGCCUCCGCAUCAGCGCGGCCCCCUCGCUCCGCCCCCUCCGCGGCAUUCCAUCGAGCCGGUGCCAUGCGGCGACAGGAGAUCCGGCGCCGGCGCUCUCUCAGGCGCCCUCCGCCGGCGGAGGCGGCGCGCGGGCCGCGCUGGUGCGCGUCGGGGAGGCGCUGUCGCUCGGGUUCCCGCUGUGGGUCGCGUCGGCCUGCGCGCUCGCGCUGUGGCGGCCGGCGAGCUUCCUCUGGGUCACCCCCACCGCCCAGAUGGUCGGCUUGUCCUUCACCAUGCUCGGUUCGUGCCCUCCGUCCAUUGCUCCCUCCCCUGCUUCUCUAUUCCUUCCUCCUCUUUUGCUUGUACAUCUCAGUUGAGAUGCAGUAAUUCAGACGUUCAGAGAUGUCUCGAUGGCUGAAUUUUUAUGAUUGAAACAUGGUUGUAGUCCCUUUGUGCAGGAAUGGGGAUGACGUUGACGCUUGAUGACCUGAGAACCGCGCUGUUGAUGCCCAAGGAGUUAGCUGCUGGGUUUCUACUUCAGUACACUGUUAGUUCUGCAACUUCUUCAGUGUUUCUUUUGAUGUCGCAAUAAACCCUGUAGCCAUACUUUCACUUUUCCAUGUCUUUUCUAUUGCAAAUCUCAUAGGAAUAUUUUUUAUGCAAGGGCCAAGGAACACGUACCCUAGAUAUUCAACAAGGUUUUCAUUUCCAAUUUUUUUUUAUCCAGCUCAAAUGUUGUCCAUUUAGAUGAACCAUAAAAGUUUCUUAUCUGAAAUGUUGGACUGGAUGGCGCGUCGCAUGUAAACUUCAUGAUCCCUCAGAAUGGAAAAAGAAAAGAAAGCCUCCAUGAGUCAUCUCCAUUAUACCUGUGGUUUUGUUAUUUUAGUGUUUGCGGUUUACGACUAUUCUAUUUGCACCAAAAAUCCAAAGUGGGUGAUUUAUGUACAGGUGAUGCCACUGUCCGGAUAUCUCAUCAGCAAGCUAUUGAACCUGCCAUCCCAUUAUGCUGCUGGACUGAUUUUGGUUUCCUGUUGCCCUGGAGGUACGCUUGCAUUUUCCCUUUCUUUAUUAAUUAUAUAUUGUCAGCUGGUUAAACUGAAAGGGAGCUACUCUCUGCAGGCACAGCAAGCAACAUUGUUACCUACUUAGCAAGGUAAGGACGAGAGAAUGUAAAACCUGCAUAUAGUCACGAUCGUACUGGAACAAAGUUCUGGGCCUCUAACUGAAACUAAUUUGUUCCGAGUCUGUUAAUAUAGUUUUAUAUAUAGGGAUUCCUGAGAGUUAUUUCUUCUCAAGAUUGUUGAAUAACCAAAUUUUCAAGCUGGCCUGUCUAGUGUUGUCUGCUAGCAGAAGUUGGUUACGUGUGACUAAAAUCAUUAAUCCCUUUUUGGUAAGGAAUCGCUGAAGUCUACUAGUAAUGUUGUAGUCGGCUUCGACUACAGCACUGUUACUUAAGAAAUGUAGCGUGUGAAGAGUUGAGGAUUAGACAGCACUGAAGGGUACUCCCUCCGUCCGAAAAAGCUUGUCCCUCUAGAUACAUCCAUUUGAGGGACAAGCUUUUUUGGACGGAGGGAGUAGAAGUGAAGCACGGGUAGGGAACAUAUGAGGUUACACGCUGUUCCUUUUAUAGAGCCUGAGUCAACCUACUUCUACUUGAGAACCAGCCAACAUAAACCUUACUAGGACUCCUCUAGCUUGUGUGAUAUAACCUACUUACUCCUUGAUCUGCUGGCUGAGCUGGCUUCCUUCUGGAGUGCUAAACAAAAUUCAAUUCAAGCUUUUCAUCAAUAUUUCAUCUCCAACUCGGACUGCUACCAGCCUGCUACUUGACAAGUAACCGACUCAGCUACCAGAUGUCUGUUCAUCUGCCAAAUCAGCAUGCCUUCGUCUCUGCGCUCUUAUAGUGCUUUCCCCAAUAGGAGUCCACACCAGUUAACAAGCCUUUCCCACCUAUAGUGGGCCAACCGACUAGGACCAUUAAGCAGUUUGCCGAAAUGAAACACAACCACUUUUGUCUCUGCGAUCUUAUAUUUCUGACUAAAUUUACAAAUAGAUUUAUUACAAUGUAGUUUUUUAUAAGGACUACACAUUAAGGUGGAAUCAGGGUCAGGUUCCAUAUGGCCAGAUGCUUGUACUUGGUUUUAUCUUUGAUAUCUUUAGAGCUUAAAAAGCAAUUACUGGCCAGUAAUGAAUAUUCAAGUGACCCAUUCGGUGCAUCACAAUAUUGUUAUCGUUGAUUAAUCCCUAGCAUCCUAAUAAUAUGGUUGAACUGAAUACUUAGUGAUGCAGAAGCAUCACAAGAACAAAUUGUUUUCUCAUUGACUAAUAAUUUUUAUAGUACUUCCUUCCUUCACAAAUAUAAGAUGUUUUGAAUAUUUCAAUAUGGACUACAUACGGACUGAAAUGAGUGAACAAACACACUAAAACAUGUCUAUAUGCAUCCGAUUCAGAAAAAAGUUAAACGUCAUAUAUUUGUAAACGGAGGGAGUACUAAAUAUCUCCAAUACUUCAGUGGAGAUCACUGUCUGUUAUGAAAGUGGAUCUGAAACUUUAUACAUUGCUACGUAUAUGUACAAAAAUGGAAGAGAAAACAAUUUUAAACAUCUAUUUUUCAUUAGCGCCAAAAUAUAGUGUAGACUAAUUUGUAUCCUUGUGUUCCAGGGCAAAUGUUGCUCUUUCGGUGCUGAUGACAGCAGCAAGCACUUUUGCUGCAGCGGUAAUGACUCACUUACAUCAAUUACUAUAUUCUGGCAGAGUCGAAUAACGUUUAUUUUCCUGAUAAUGCAGUUCAUGACUCCUCUUUUGACAUCCAAACUGGCUGGGCAAUACGUCGCAGUAGACCCUAUGGGACUGUUCGUGUCGACGUCUCAGGUGCUGACAGUUUCUGUAUUAUAACUUUAAGUCCCCCUAGUUCUGGCUAAGGUUGAUAUAUCUGAAUGCAGGUUGUCCUAGCGCCUGUUCUUUUGGGUGCUCUGCUUAAUCAGUACAUGGGCCGUUUGGUUGAGUCGGUUUCUCCCGUGAUGCCGUUCAUUGCUGUAGCAACAGUAGCUGUUCUUUGUGGCAAUGCGAUCGCACAGAAUGCUUCGGCCAUCCUGGCAUCUGGCCUACAAGUGGUACUGUCGGUCAUCUUCUUGCAUGGAUCCGGCUUCUUCUUUGGCUAUGUUCUUUCAAGGGUGCUUGGCAUCGAUAUCGCUUCAUCACGAACAAUCUCGAUCGAGGUUGGCAUGCAGGUAAUUUCUAUUGUGCGCUUUUUUCAGCAGAUUUUUACAAUGGACUUAAGUGUUGCCCAGAUAUCUCCCAUUACAUUUUCAUCAAUGCAACCAAGGAAGCACAUAACCGAUGCUGCGCUCUUUCUCCCAUUGCACACCGCAGUUUCAUUAUGUAUAAUAUUAGUUAUCUCUAGAGAAGUUUUGGUGUGUGUAUCAUACUGAAUUUCUUGUGGAUGCAGAACUCGGUGCUGGGUGUGGUUCUCGCGGGCAAGCACUUCGGCAGCCCUCUCACGGCGGUUCCAUGCGCGGUUUCGAGCAUCUGCCACUCUGUCUAUGGUAGCCUGUUGGCCGGGGUCUGGAGGUCCAUGCCCCCGAAUGACAAGCAGUGAGCAUGACGGAUGAGACAGAUAGAUACUUUAGUGGUUGCAGUAACUUGAGUUAUGAGUUAUUCGGAGCUAUUUGUGCUUGUGGGAGAAAUAUUUUACCAUGAAAACCAAGUCAGCAACGUGCCUGCCCCUUAUUCAUUUCUUUGCCAGCUUUCACUUCCCAAAUGACCAUUGGUUUCUACCUCUACUGUUUUAUCCCUUGCAUAAGUUGCCAACACAUCUGCACGCUCAAGUAAACCAAACAACAAUGAACUCCUUGUCUUCAGCGAUCAGAGCACGGAGCUCAGCUACAACAAUAUGUCCACCAGUACCAUGGCCUUGAUCUUGGGAAUCACCGUACCGACUGGAGAACGAUUAACCGUUGGGGAGUUAACUCUCUGAAUAACGGACAAGCAAUCCAAGACCGAUGAUCGCGAGCGAGAUCGGUGGCCGAUGACGUUUUCCCUUCCACAUUGUGCUCUCAUGGGCAUGUUGGUCUGAAGGUGUUACGCUCAGUAUAUUUUGGUAAGAUAAUAAAUGAAAACAUGUGAAGGAAAAAAGUUGAGUUGCGACUGACCUUUUGGUGCAACGUAUCUGUAAAAGUAAACAAAAAAAAGUUGCAUGUCUAAGCCCAGGUUCGAACUGGGGACCUUUAGUGUGUGAGACUAACGUGAUAACCAACUACACCACCCAGACAUGGUGGUUUAUGCAGUGGAAAUUUUUUAUUUAUCCAAGACAGAAUCAGUCCCCGUUAUCUGUUCUUCGUCGAAGCGCCACCAGCCUACAAGGUACUAUUUCAUCUGAUUGUAGUUUAUCAGUCGCGUGUUUCCUUCAGUGGAAACGACGAGAAGAGGUAUAAACACAACACAGUGUAUAGUUAGUUUCCUCCAAAACAUGCUGCGUCCCCUCCGUCACGCAGCAGCCCCGCGGUGCCGACGAUGCCGCCAGGAGCCGCCUCAGCUUCUCUUUCGCGGAACAGAACCAGCCGGAGAGCAUCAUCGACCCGGCCGCCUCAGUCGUGACGGCCGGCAGCAGCAGCACUGCGCCGUCAUCGUGUUUUUUGGAACACAAGCUGGUAAUCGACGGUGCCAGAAGAAAAGAAACAUCAUUCCAUUCGGGAUUUGCUACUUGGAGCGUGGUUUAGGUAAAAUGAGAUGCACAUCCUUCAGAGUUGGAACUCGGCGGGCGACAACUCUCUUGCGCAUCAUACUAAACACGAGCGAGAAACUUAAGCACGAGAGAAGAGAGGAAAGUAAAAUUCAGAUAUGUUGAAUUAAUUUGGAAAGGCUUAUGCAUCAUAUUAAUGCUAUGAACUCCAUAUACCAAGCAUCAUGUUGAAACCACAAUGAGUACUUACAAUAGCUUAGCAUUAGAACAUUGCACGCAAUAUCCCAUUAAUGUUACAAUCAGUAUAACGGAACAGAAAAAUCACAUCUAAUCCCAUAAAAGAUUACAUUUGCCAAGUGCAAUGUCUGAACUGAUAGCAACAUAUGAUUAUUGACGAAAAAGGGUUUUUCCCCGCUUUAUAUAUAAAGCAACCAUCACCGAACAAACCAAUACAAACACACACCCCACACUAUACCUGGCCAAAACUCAGGCCGGCCCGGCCCGGGCUUCAGGCCGGGCCUAGCCAAGCCCGAGUCAAAAAACACAGGCCCGAGCCCGGCCCGGCCCGGCCAUCAGGUAUAAACACAACACAGUGUAUAGUUAGUUUCCUCCAAAACAUGCUGCGUCCCCUCCGUCACGCAGCAGCCCGGCGGUGCCGACGAUGCCGCCAGGAGCCGCCUCAGCUUCUCUUUCGCGGAACAGAACCAGCCGGAGAGCAUCAUCGACCCGGCCGCCUCAGUCGUGACGGCCGGCAGCAGCAGCACUGCGCCGUCAUCGUGUUUUUUGGAACACAAGCUGGUAAUCGACGGUGCCAGAAGAAAAGAAACAUCAUUCCAUUCGGGAUUUGCUACUUGGAGCGUGGUUUAGGUAAAAUGAGAUGCACAUCCUUCAGAGUUGGAACUCGGCGGGCGACAACUCUCUUGCGCAUCAUACUAAACACGAGCGAGAAACUUAAGCACGAGAGAAGAGAGGAAAGUAAAAUUCAGAUAUGUUGAAUUAAUUUGGAAAGGCUUAUGCAUCAUAUUAAUGCUAUGAACUCCAUAUACCAAGCAUCAUGUUGAAACCACAAUGAGUACUUACAAUAGCUUAGCAUUAGAACAUUGCACGCAAUAUCCCAUUAAUGUUACAAUCAGUAUAACGGAACAGAAAAAUCACAUCUAAUCCCAUAAAAGAUUACAUUUGCCAAGUGCAAUGUCUGAACUGAUAGCAACAUAUGAUUAUUGACGAAAAAGGGUUUUUCCCCGCUUUAUAUAUAAAGCAACCAUCACCGAACAAACCAAUACAAACACACACCCCACACUAUACCUGGCCAAAACUCAGGCCGGCCCGGCCCGGGCUUCAGGCCGGGCCUAGCCAAGCCCGAGUCAAAAAACACAGGCCCGAGCCCGGCCCGGCCCGGCCAUCAGGCCUGGUUUUUAGGCCCGAGCCCGGCCCAAAGCCGCCGGGCCUCGGGUCGGGCCUCUUUAGCAAAUUGCAAAAACUACGGGACCGGGCCCGGCCCGGCCCGGCCUUCGGGCUCAAAAUCUAGGCCCGAGCCCGGCCUGGGAGCAGCGUCAGGCCGGGCCGGGUCAGGAUUUUUCGGGCCGAGCCGGGCUUCCCAUGGCCAGGACUACCCCACACCAACACAACACACACACCCAAGGCUAGAUACAAGGACGUUGAAAACAACAACACCACCCGAAACUACUGCAAGCAAACACCGGAUGAAACAGCAAGCACUACCAUGAAGUCGUCAGGGCCCUCAACCGUGGAUGAGCCACCGCGGUGAGGAGAAACCGUGGAUGACGAACAAUGAGCUCCAAGGCGAUGCCUUCAGGAAGGGAACGACACCGAGGCGCUGCCACCACCCAAUCCAAGGAUUAGGCUUUCCCCCGGAGCAGCAUGGCGACAAGUGAGAUAUGGCGACGACGCCUUCAAGAAUGGGACGAUGCUAGAACGCCGCCGGCGGCGGCCUGACAAGUCAGAGCGGGUUUUCACCCAGGCCAACACUCACGUCACCAAAUUGGGGUACGGACUACCGCACCACCGCCAUUGAACGACACACCCCGACCACCAUGCCGCCCACACGGCCAUGGUGACCGGACAGCGCCUGAGCCGCGUUCUCCGCCCACGAGCACCCCGGCUACCACCAUCAGGGCCGCUGCCCAAGCAUCUGAGCCCAACCCUCGUCUACGGAUACAUCCGACCAAAAAGGGGCAGAAGACCCCUCCCUUCCAUCCCAAAGUGGACACCUUGGCAGGGUUGGUGGCCUUGGCGGCCAGAUCCGGGCCAUGGGAACUCUGGCAGCCACACAAUGCAGUCGCCAGAUGCAACGAAGGGGCACCCCUGCCCCCUUCCCGAAGUCCCCUGCCACCUUCGGCAAGCCGACUUCGAUCUUUGGAUUUCUGCAACGGCAGAGCGGCGGGAAGGGAUGCGGGGGCGGCGCCGGUUUAGUUGAUUGGCGGACGGCGGCGAGGUGGGAGGAGUAGAUAAUACAGGGGCGGGGGUGCGGCGGUCGCGGAUUUGAAGGCGACAACUGUGAUUCGGGCGGCGAUGGGGAGGGGGUGGUUUUACGGAGGCCGCACAAACACUCUAUAUUUGCAGCACUUGGAGUCCUUUUUCUGGGCUACCCAAUUUUUUUCACAAAAAAAAUAUGAUAGGGCAGUUGUUAGAUCAGUCUUCGCCCCCCAAGUGCCCUAAAAACUGCUAUGCCCUAUUUAAGGGCUGUUAUUGGAGAUGCUCUAAUAUGAAUUCAUAAAAACCAAAUCUCUUUCGUUAUACUUAUUCACCAAGACGGAGGUAGUACUUAAGUUUACAUAAAGCAACUCAACACACCUGCGUAAAAUAGAAUAAUGAACACUUUAGGUGCUCGUAUUCUUAUGGCAUGCGCCACUUGGUCAUAUAUUGUUGGUUUCAUUUAUUUCUAGCCCGUGGAACAGAUUUUGAGAUGACUAUGGGCAAAUCCGCAGUUAAUGGUAGCUUGGCACUUUAAGGAAUUGAAGGUGAUACUUGAAUUAACUGUAUGGAGAUAAUCAUGCAACAAAAAUAAUAGUUAGUCUCCAUACAGUAUUGCCUAAUCAGUGUUCAUCAAAUGAAUAAUCAUGCAACAAAAAUAAUAAUUACAUGAUGCAUGUUGUGUUUCGGUUAGGCUUUUGGGUGGCUGAGACUUGGUUUUAAAAGCAUUCACGAGAAGUUGUGAGCAUACUACAUGUGAAUUUGGUUAGUGAAAGAUAAUGUGUUUAUCCUCCAAAGAUAACGUAAAUUUAGACGAAACCAAUAACCUUGCUGGCCAACUGUGAGUAGUCCUAUAAGUUCACUUUCCACAUUAUGCACAUGGGCAAGUUGUUGUUGUUACUCCAUAUAUUUGUGUUGACAUAAAGACAUAUGAAAGUUUUUUUUUGACGGGAUAUGAAAGAAAAUUUGACAGUGAGCCAUGAGGAGAUAGCUCUUGCAAACGAACUUUUUGCGCAACGUAUCUAAGAGUCAAAGGAAAAGCAAAAGAGAUGUAUGUCUAAGCCCAGGUUCGAACUGGGGACCUUUAGUGUGUGAGACUAACGUGAUAACCAACUGCACCACCCAGACAUGUUAAUACACAUUGUCGAGCUCAUUUAUAUAUCUGGUGCAAGCACUCAGACGAUCUGUAUUGGUUAUUAGCCUGUUAAUUGCGUGUUUUGCUUCAGUGUAGUUCCCUCCAGAGAAAACAAAUUUUGGCAAGGUGACCAUGUUACAGGACAUUUGUAAAAAAAAAAAACAUGGCACAGGAAAUUGACUUCAGUGUCAUUGAGGUCGGUUGGCCUCACGAACGACGAAAAUAAUCUCUAUUAUUAAAGGGCAAUCGAACGUCGUGAUGGUUCGUCCUCAUUCAACCUGCCCGCGCUAAAAGGGAUCCAAGGGAACAACGCACGUUCGAGGACAGGAAAAAAACGAAACAACUCGCACGAUCUCCAACUCCUUCCCCGACCUUCCGGUUUGUCUCUCCAGAUAUCUCUCCCCCAAACACAACCCAUCCACAUCCACACCCCAUCUCCCACGACCACCCAGGCCCUCCAUGUCCAUCGAUCGCGGCACUCUCCGGCGACCGCUCGACACCUCCUCUUCCGUGAACAUGCCUCUCUCUACGAUCAUCUAUUAGGUGCGCCCGACCCAUUGACCUUUCGCCAUGGCCGCCUCCGCGCGCACGACCGCUGCCGCAGCGGGCGUUCUCCAUGUCGUGUCAUGAGCUCUGAAGAGUCCGGCGGUGCCGUCACGUCGGCCUCUCUCGCCGCGAUCCACGAGGUCAUGGCACUCAGCAUGCCCUCACCCCUCGGCUCCGCCUGCGGGUGGUCGUCGACGCCAUCGCCAGCUGCUGCUUUGAGGCCGGAGUUGUGGCUGCCACCAAGGAGGCCAUCUCGAUGCGGAUGCUGCAGGACGUGCCUGCACUACCCUGCCACCCCUACAUUUCUGGACCAGUACAUCUGCUCCGUCGUGAACACAUGCUUCGUGUCAUACAGGCCGCCGCACAGGGUGAGCUCCUGCAGCGGUUUAGGUAUAUAUGUGCAUCGCACAAGGGCAACUACAGUUUCUUGCAAGUUAAAGUAAACUGGAUGGACUAAUCUUCAGUUUCUCCACCAAGAUAUAUUUUACUUCAACAAGAAAAAGUGCAGAAAAAUCAUAUAGUGUUAUUUUCUUGAUGCGUUAAACAUGCACAAUCAAUUUGGUCUGAUGAGUCUAUGUCAAUUGAACUACCACUCGAAUUAUAGCAAUUCCAAGCUUUUUUCUACAGCUGCAAUUUGCUGACACAGUUGAGUUCUCUGGAAGUUUUGCGGCACACAUAAUUGAUUUUGCCAAUGUUAAUCCCAUUGUGCCUGUGAUAACAAAGGUGAAUUGUGUUUUCAAGUUCGUAGUACUGUUACUACUGUCAGACAACUAAAGUAGAUGUUAUGCAUACUGACUGGGGUGUGGACUCUAUUUUUUAAGGACAAAACUCAAGUGAGAUUUUGCUUCCAUGGGUCUUCAUUCCUUUUACAAUUAUUUCGUCAAAUCUUUACCGACAAUUUGUUAUUUCUCUUUGUGUGCGCAUUGCCCUUAGCAUCCAUUUGACAAGUUAAAAUUAACUGGUUGGCCUCAUUAGGGUUAUAUCAGAGAUUCUGCGGAAAAAGAAGUCAGCUUGUCAUCUACUUACUGUCUCUACCUAUGCUGAUUGGGUGUUGACUUCUCACACAUAUCCCAACUACUUCUUCAUUUUUUUCCCAUCACUCAUCAGACCCGAGAUGUAUAUACACUGGUAAGCAUUAUUUACAUGUACGACUAAGACAUAAAUAUCACAUCCUAUUGUCUUGGUUAACAGCUUGUUUUUCAAAAUGCAAUUUCCAGCAUGUCAUUAGCCAAAUUAGAAGUAUAUAAGGAGACUGUAAAAAUGGUAAUCUGAUACGUUCAUCACACUUUAAAAUCAACAGAAAAUUGAACAAAUGCAUUUGCAUUUAUAAUCUGUUACCAAACAAUGAGGUUCUCAUAUUGAUGUGUUUUAAUUUUAUUUACGUCCAACUCAGGCUUCAACCGAUCACUGAUCUACUGAUGUCCUUAAGCGACGUUUUUGAGCUAUCUGGUAGCACGUACUGAUCAUUUCAUCACUUUGUGGUGAUGCAGGAUGCACAUCAGUGCCGCAAAACCCAUGGUCACAAUCAUGUCUUUCACAGCCGGUGUGGUGUGCCUAAGGUUAAGCCACCACCAAUGGAGGUGACAUUUUUUUUGUGGAGGUCGAUGGCGGUGGCACAAACGGCGAGCAGCUGGUAAAGUAAGGAAGGUCGUCAUGAAGGUUGGUGUGCAAAAGUGCUUUGAUUGCUUCUAGCACUAGGAUGCAGAUGCAGAUGGUAGUGAAUUAUAUAUAACUUACAAGAUUUUUUAUAAAGAUAUUCAUAGUAGCAUUUUAGGAAAUAUGUAAACAUACCUUCAUUGUGUGCUCUAUCGACAUGUGAGCGAGUCAAAUAUAACUAUAAGAGAUUGCGUGCCUUGUAACUAUAGUGAACAGUUAAAAAA